CAAGUACUCCCUCCGUCCGAAAAUACUUGUCAUAUGAAUGGAUGUAUCUAGAUGUAUUUUAGUUCUAGAUACAUCCAUUUGUGUGACAAGUAUUUUCGGACGGAGGGAGUAGUCA
rnacentral:pre_miRNA from 1 species